rnacentral:rRNA from 1 species
CGGGACACGUGGUAUCCUGUCUGAAUAUGGGGGGACCAUCCUCCAAGGCUAAAUACUCCUGACUGACCGAUAGUGAACCAGUACCGUGAGGGAAAGGCGAAAAGAACCCCGGCGAGGGGAGUGAAAAAGAACCUGAAACCGUGUACGUACAAGCAGUGGGAGCACGCUUAGGCGUGUGACUGCGUACCUUUUGUAUAAUGGGUCAGCGACUUAUAUUCUGUAGCAAGGUUAACCGAAUAGGGGAGCCGAAGGGAAACCGAGUCUUAACUGGGCGUUAAGUUGCAGGGUAUAGACCCGAAACCCGGUGAUCUAGCCAUGGGCAGGUUGAAGGUUGGGUAACACUAACUGGAGGACCGAACCGACUAAUGUUGAAAAAUUAGCGGAUGACUUGUGGCUGGGGGUGAAAGGCCAAUCAAACCGGGAGAUAGCUGGUUCUCCCCGAAAGCUAUUUAGGUAGCGCCUCGUGAAUUCAUCUCCGGGGGUAGAGCACUGUUUCGGCAAGGGGGUCAUCCCGACUUACCAACCCGAUGCAAACUGCGAAUACCGGAGAAUGUUAUCACGGGAGACACACGGCGGGUGCUAACGUCCGUCGUGAAGAGGGAAACAACCCAGACCGCCAGCUAAGGUCCCAAAGUCAUGGUUAAGUGGGAAACGAUGUGGGAAGGCCCAGACAGCCAGGAUGUUGGCUUAGAAGCAGCCAUCAUUUAAAGAAAGCGUAAUAGCUCACUGGUCGAGUCGGCCUGCGCGGAAGAUGUAACGGGGCUAAACCAUGCACCGAAGCUGCGGCAGCGACGCUUAUGCGUUGUUGGGUAGGGGAGCGUUCUGUAAGCCUGCGAAGGUGUGCUGUGAGGCAUGCUGGAGGUAUCAGAAGUGCGAAUGCUGACAUAAGUAACGAUAAAGCGGGUGAAAAGCCCGCUCGCCGGAAGACCAAGGGUUCCUGUCCAACGUUAAUCGGGGCAGGGUGAGUCGACCCCUAAGGCGAGGCCGAAAGGCGUAGUCGAUGGGAAACAGGUUAAUAUUCCUGUACUUGGUGUUACUGCGAAGGGGGGACGGAGAAGGCUAUGUUGGCCGGGCGACGGUUGUCCCGGUUUAAGCGUGUAGGCUGGUUUUCCAGGCAAAUCCGGAAAAUCAAGGCUGAGGCGUGAUGACGAGGCACUACGGUGCUGAAGCAACAAAUGCCAUGCUUCCAGGAAAAGCCUCUAAGCAUCAGGUAACAUCAAAUCGUACCCCAAACCGACACAGGUGGUCAGGUAGAGAAUACCAAGGCGCUUGAGAGAACUCGGGUGAAGGAACUAGGCAAAAUGGUGCCGUAACUUCGGGAGAAGGCACGCUGAUAUGUAGGUGAAGCGACUUGCUCGUGGAGCUGAAAUCAGUCGAAGAUACCAGCUGGCUGCAACUGUUUAUUAAAAACACAGCACUGUGCAAACACGAAAGUGGACGUAUACGGUGUGACGCCUGCCCGGUGCCGGAAGGUUAAUUGAUGGGGUCAGCGCAAGCGAAGCUCUUGAUCGAAGCCCCGGUAAACGGCGGCCGUAACUAUAACGGUCCUAAGGUAGCGAAAUUCCUUGUCGGGUAAGUUCCGACCUGCACGAAUGGCGUAAUGAUGGCCAGGCUGUCUCCACCCGAGACUCAGUGAAAUUGAACUCGCUGUGAAGAUGCAGUGUACCCGCGGCAAGACGGAAAGACCCCGUGAACCUUUACUAUAGCUUGACACUGAACAUUGAGCCUUGAUGUGUAGGAUAGGUGGGAGGCUUUGAAGUGUGGACGCCAGUCUGCAUGGAGCCGACCUUGAAAUACCACCCUUUAAUGUUUGAUGUUCUAACGUUGACCCGUAAUCCGGGUUGCGGACAGUGUCUGGUGGGUAGUUUGACUGGGGCGGUCUCCUCCUAAAGAGUAACGGAGGAGCACGAAGGUUGGCUAAUCCUGGUCGGACAUCAGGAGGUUAGUGCAAUGGCAUAAGCCAGCUUGACUGCGAGCGUGACGGCGCGAGCAGGUGCGAAAGCAGGUCAUAGUGAUCCGGUGGUUCUGAAUGGAAGGGCCAUCGCUCAACGGAUAAAAGGUACUCCGGGGAUAACAGGCUGAUACCGCCCAAGAGUUCAUAUCGACGGCGGUGUUUGGCACCUCGAUGUCGGCUCAUCACAUCCUGGGGCUGAAGUAGGUCCCAAGGGUAUGGCUGUUCGCCAUUUAAAGUGGUACGCGAGCUGGGUUUAGAACGUCGUGAGACAGUUCGGUCCCUAUCUGCCGUGGGCGCUGGAGAACUGAGGGGGGCUGCUCCUAGUACGAGAGGACCGGAGUGGACGCAUCACUGGUGUUCGGGUUGUCAUGCCAAUGGCACUGCCCGGUAGCUAAAUGCGGAAGAGAUAAGUGCUGAAAGCAUCUAAGCACGAAACUUGCCCCGAGAUGAGUUCUCCCUGACUCCUUGAGAGUCCUGAAGGAACGUUGAAGACGACGACGUUGAU